rnacentral:rRNA from 1 species
UAAGGAAUAUUGGUCAAUGGGCGAGAGCCUGAACCAGCCAUCCCGCGUGCAGGAAGAAUGCCCUAUGGGUUGUAAACUGCUUUUUCGCAUGAAGAACAUCCCGAACGAGUUCGGGACUGACGGUAGUGCGUGAAUAAGCACCGGCUAACUCCGUGCCAGCAGCCGCGGUAAUACGGAGGGUGCAAGCGUUAUCCGGAUUUAUUGGGUUUAAAGGGUGCGUAGGCGGCGAUUUAAGUCAGUGGUGAAAUGCUGCAGCUCAACUGUAGAACUGCCAUUGAAACUGAAUUGCUUGAGUGAUCUUGAAGUAGGCGGAAUGUGUAGUGUAGCGGUGAAAUGCUUAGAUAUUACACAGAACACCGAUUGCGAAGGCAGCUUGCUGGGCCAUUACUGACGCUGAUGCACGAAAGCGUGGGGAUCGAACA